GGCGGCAUCGCCAAGUGGUAAGGCACGGGUUUGCAAAACCCGCAUCCCCGGUUCGAAUCCGGGUGCCGCCUCCA
rnacentral:tRNA from 5 species